GACGAACGCUGGCGGCAUGCUUAACACAUGCAAGUCGAACGGAAAGGCCCUGCUUUUGUGGGGUGCUCGAGUGGCGAACGGGUGAGUAACACGUGAGUAACCUGCUCUUGACUUUGGGAUAACUUCAGGAAACUGGGGCUAAUACCGGAUAGGAGCUCCUGCUGCAUGGUGGGGGUUGGAAAGUUUCGGCGGUUGGGGAUGGACUCGCGGCUUAUCAGCUUGUUGGUGGGGUAGUGGCUUACCAAGGCUUUGACGGGUAGCCGGCCUGAGAGGGUGACCGGCCACAUUGGGACUGAGGUACGGCCCAGACUCCUACGGGAGGCAGCAGUGGGGAAUAUUGCACAAUGGGCGGAAGCCUGAUGCAGCAACGCCGCGUGCGGGAUGACGGCCUUCGGGUUGUAAACCGCUUUCGCCUGUGACGAAGCGUGAGUGACGGUAAUGGGUAAAGAAGCACCGGCUAACUACGUG
rnacentral:rRNA from 1 species